CUUCAGCGAGCCCAGCCACAGUGGACGGUCGCGCUCCUGACCGUAGGUGUUGAUCAGCGCCUGCGCCUC
rnacentral:antisense_RNA from 1 species